AUUGAACGCUGGCGGCAUGCCUUACACAUGCAAGUCGAACGGAAACAGGUCUUCGGAUGCCGACGAGUGGUGACCGGGUGCGUAAUACUUCGGAAUGUGUCCAGACGUGGGGGAUCACGGGGCGAAACCUUUGCUAAUACCGAAUACGAUCUAAGGAUGAAAACCGGAGACCGCAAGGGCUAGAGCGUUUUUUGCGGUCGAUGGCAGAUUAGGUAGUUGGUGGGAUAAAAGCUUACCAAGUCGACGAUCUGUAGCUGGUCUGAGAGGAGGACCAGCCACACUGGAACUGAGACACGGCCCAGACUCCUACGGGAGGCAGCAGUGGGGAAUUUUGGACAAUGGGCGAAAGCCUGAUCCAGCAAUGCCGCGUGCGUGAUGAAGGCCUUCGGGUUGUAAACUGCUUUUGUACGGAACGAAAAGGCUCUGGCUAAUACCUGGAGCUCAUGACGGUACCGAAAGAAUAAGCACCGGCUAACUACGUG
rnacentral:rRNA from 1 species